AGGUAGCGGCCGACGCCGUCCCGGGCGGGGCCCCCCGGCAGGUGCCUCGCCCCCCGCCCGCGCUCACCUGCUCCCGGGUCUUCAGGUACCGCUGCAGCGCCUGCUGCGUGAGCUCCCGGACGCGCAGCUGGCCCUCCUUGCAGGGCACCACGAUGCCCGUCCUGCCGAAGCACACAGUCACCUUCAUGCUGGGACAGGUCACAUCCCAGACCCAGAAAUGAUGCAUAUGCUUCCAUGUAUCCUUCUGAAAUGGGCCUCCUGUUGUGCAUCUGGCUACAAAGACCAUUUUAAACACGCUGAGGCUCAGCUCGCGUAACAACGAGCUCCUUUGAGCCUGACAACGACCCUGGGAGGUAAAUGUGUUUCCCAUUUUGUGCAUGAAGAAUGUGCUAAGGGAGGUUAAGGAACUGAGCUAACCAGGAAGUUAGUUACCCUAAGAGAAUCUCCCUUCUUCCCAUGCUGAAUCUCUGGUCUCCCCAAGCUGGUUUUCUAGCAAUCUACUUCGUCCAACAAGAUCCUCAGGGCCACACCAUGUGUUUCUCUAUAAAAGAAUUUGUUCCUGGGGCGCCUGGGUGGUGCAGCCUCUUAAGCACCUGACUCUCGGUUUCUGCUCAGGUCAUGAAUCUCAGGGUCCUGGGAUCCAACCCCAUGUUGGGC